CCUACGGGUGGCAGCAGUCGAGAAUCAUUCACAAUGGGGGAAACCCUGAUGGUGCGACGCCGCGUGGGGGAAUGAAGGUCUUCGGAUUGUAAAUCCCUGUCAUGUGGGAGCAAAUUAAAAAGAUAGUACCACAAGAGGAAGAGACGGCUAACUAUGUGCCAGCAGCCGCGGUAAUAAAGGGGUCUCAAGCGUUGUUCGUAAUCACUGGGCGUAAAGCGUGCGUAGGCGGGUUGGUAAGUCGUGUGAGAAAGGCGCGGGCUCAACCCGCGGACGGCAUAGGAGUCUGUGGAACUAGAGUAAUGGAGGGGGAACCGGAAUGCUCGGUGUAGCAGUGAAAUGCGUAGAUAUCGGGAGGAACACUCGUGGCGAAGGCGGGUUCCUGGACAUUAACUGACGGUGAGGCACGAAGGCCAGGGGAGCGAAAGGGAUUAGAUACCCCAGUAGUC
rnacentral:rRNA from 1 species